rnacentral:lncRNA from 1 species
GAUGGUUCUAUCUGCUUGUUAAAUCUUUAUUCUCCUAUUUUAAGUGCAAGGGAAUUUAAGAAUUUAGUUUUAUGGCAGGGGCUAUAGGAAUGAUUUAAUUUGUUAUUGGUAACUAAGCAUUAGAGCUUAAAAGAUCUUAGCUCUGAGCAAAUUUUCUGAAUGGUUGUUGAGUUCGUCUUAUUCUGUUUUUUCUUGCUUUCCGGUCCCAUGAUUGAUUAUGUUAAUUGCUGCCUGGAUUGCUUAUAAAUGGCACUAAUGCUCAAAAUUCUUUGCUGCCUUGCAAUCUUCUGAUUAUUUGUGUUAAUUGUUGAUUUUGAUUUUUCUACGGAUGACAAGAUUCGAACAAGACUGAAUAGGGUAUUCUCCUAAGAGCGUGAAACAACUGAAAGCAUGUGUUUGGAAUUUUUUGUGUGUGUGAUAAGUGGUCUUUUGUUAUAAUAUAAUCAAAAUGAUGGAUGAUUGGUUUAAAGAAUGGCC